UAACUCCAUAUCGGCGGUGGAAACUGAUGAACUAGAGGGUGGUAGGGGUCACGGGAAUUCCCAGUGUAGCGGUGAAAUGCGUAGAUAUUGGGAAGAACACCAGCGGCGAAAGCGCGUGACUGGGCCAUUACUGACACUCAUGGACGAAAGCUAGGGGAGCGAAAGGGAUUAGAUACCCCUGUAGUCCUAGCCGUAAACGAUGGACACUAGGUGUUGCCCGAUCGACCCGGGCAGUGCCGUAGCUAACGCGUUAAGUGUCCCGCCUGGGGAGUACGCACGCAAGUGUGAAACUCAAAGGAAUUGACGGGGGCCCGCACAAGCGGUGGAGUAUGUGGUUUAAUUCGAUGCAACGCGAAGAACCUUACCAGGGCUUGACAUGUCGCGAAUCCCCUUGAAAGGGGGGAGUGCCUUCGGGAGCGCGAGUACAGGUGGUGCAUGGCUGUCGUCAGCUCGUGUCGUGAGAUGUUGGGUUAAGUCCCGCAACGAGCGCAACCCACGUUUCUAGUUGCCAGCAUUCAGUUGGGCACUUUAGAGAGACUGCCGGUGACAAACCGGAGGAAGGUGUGGAUGACGUCAAGUCAGCAUGCCCCUUACGUCCUGGGCUACACACGUACUACAAUGCUUCGGACAGAGGGUUGCCAGCCCGCGAGGGUGCGCUAAUCCCGUAAACCGAGGCUCAGUUCAGAUUGCAGGCUGCAACUCGCCUGCAUGAAGGCGGAAUCGCUAGUAAUCGCCGGUCAGCAUAC
rnacentral:rRNA from 1 species